rnacentral:rRNA from 1 species
UGGGGAAUAUUGCACAAUGGAGGGAACUCUGAUGCAGCGACGCCGCGUGAACGAAGAAGGCUUUCGAGUCGUAAAGUUCUUUUAUAUGGGAAGAUAAUGACGGUACCAUAAGAAAAAGCCCCGGCUAACUACGUGCCAGCAGCCGCGGUAAUACGUAGGGGGCUAGCGUUGUCCGGAAUCACUGGGCGUAAAGGGUUCGCAGGCGGAAAUGCAAGUCAGGUGUAAAAGGCAGUAGCUUAACUACUGUAAGCAUUUGAAACUGCAUAUCUUGAGAAGAGUAGAGGUAAGUGGAAUUUUUAGUGUAGCGGUGAAAUGCGUAGAUAUUAAAAAGAAUACCGGUGGCGAAGGCGAAUUACUGGGCUCAUUCUGACGCUGAGGAACGAAAGCGUGGGUAGCAAACAGG